rnacentral:rRNA from 1 species
AGUCGAACGGUAACAGGAAGCAGCUUGCUGCUUCGCUGACGAGUGGCGGACGGGUGAGUAAUGUCUGGGAAACUGCCUGAUGGAGGGGGAUAACUACUGGAAACGGUGGCUAAUACCGCAUAACGUCGCAAGACCAAAGAGGGGGACCUUCGGGCCUCUUGCCAUCAGAUGUGCCCAGAUGGGAUUAGCUUGUUGGUGAGGUAACGGCUCACCAAGGCGACGAUCCCUAGCUGGUCUGAGAGGAUGACCAGCCACACUGGAACUGAGACACGGUCCAGACUCCUACGGGAGGCAGCAGUGGGGAAUAUUGCACAAUGGGCGCAAGCCUGAUGCAGCCAUGCCGCGUGUAUGAAGAAGGCCUUCGGGUUGUAAAGUACUUUCAGC